AUUGAACGCUGGCGGCAUGCCUUACACAUGCAAGUCGAACGGCAGCACGGGGCAACCUGGUGGCGAGUGGCGAACGGGUGAGUAAUGCAUCGGAACGUACCUUUCAGUGGGGGAUAACGUAGCGAAAGUUACGCUAAUACCGCAUAUUCUGUGAGCAGGAAAGCAGGGGAUCGCAAGACCUUGCGCUGAUUGAGCGGCCGAUGUCAGAUUAGCUAGUUGGGGAGGUAAAGGCUCACCAAGGCGACGAUCUGUAGCGGGUCUGAGAGGAUGAGCCGCCACACUGGAACUGAGACACGGUCCAGACUCAUACGGGAGGCAGCAGUGGGGAAUUUUGGACAAUGGGGGCAACCCUGAUCCAGCCAUGCCGCGUGAGUGAAGAAGGCCUUCGGGUUGUAAAGCUCUUUCGGCCGGGAAGAAAUCGCACGGGCUAAUACCCUGUGUGGAUGACGGUACCGGAAUAAGAAGCACCGGCUUACUACGUGCCAGCCGCCGCCGUAACAC
rnacentral:rRNA from 1 species